rnacentral:rRNA from 1 species
ACCAGACUCCUACGGGAGGCAGCAGUGGGGGAUAUUGCACAAUGGGGGGAACCCUGAUGCAGCGACGCCGCGUGGGUGAAGAAGCGCCUCGGCGCGUAAAGCCCUGUCAGCAGGGAAGAAAAUGACGGUACCUGAAGAAGAAGCCCCGGCUAACUACGUGCCAGCAGCCGCGGUAGUACGUAGGGGGCAAGCGUUAUCCGGAUUUACUGGGUGUAAAGGGGGCGCAGACGGCGAUGCAAGCCAGGAGUGAAAGCCCGGGGCCCAACCCCGGGACUGCUCUUGGAACUGCGUGGCUGGAGUGCAGGAGGGGCAGGCGGAAUUCCUGGUGUAGCGGUGAAAUGCGUAGAUAUCAGGAGGAACACCGGUGGCGAAGGCGGCCUGCUGGACUGCAACUGACGUUGAGGCCCGAAAGCGUGGGGAGCAAACAGGAUUAGAUACCCCAGUAAA